GACGAACGCUGGCGGCGUGCCUAACACAUGCAAGUCGAGCGGGGAAGGUGCCUUCGGGUGCUUUUCUAGCGGCGGACGGGUGAGUAACGCGUGAGCAAUCUGUCCUUUAGAGGGGGAUAACACAUUGAAAGAUGUGCUAAUACCGCAUGAGACCACAACUUCGAAUGGAGAAGGGGUCAAAGGAGAAAUCCGCUAAAGGGUGAGCUCGCGUCUGAUUAGCUAGUUGGUGAGGUAACGGCCCACCAAGGCGACGAUCAGUAGCCGGCCUGAGAGGGCGAUCGGCCACACUGGAACUGAGAAACGGUCCAGACUCCUACGGGAGGCAGCAGUGGGGAAUAUUGGGCAAUGGGCGAAAGCCUGACCCAGCAACGCCGCGUGAGGGAAGAAGGCCUUCGGGUCGUAAACCUUUGUCCCAUGUGAAGAGCAGAAGACGGUAGCAUGGGAGGAAGCCCCGGCUAACUACGUGCCAGCCGCCGCGGUAAAAC
rnacentral:rRNA from 1 species